UACGACUACAUAUCAGGCAUAUCAAUAAGCGGAGGAAAAGAAACUAACUAGGAUUCCCCUCAGUAACGGCGAGUGAAGCGGGAAGAGCUCAAAUUUGAAAUCUUCAAGGUUUUACCUUGACGAAUUGUAGUUUAAAGAAGUGUUUUCGGUUAGAGGAGUUUAGUAAAAGUUCUUUGGAAUAGGACAUCAUAGAGGGUGAGAAUCCCGUAUUUGACUAUUCUUUCUAGCUUUGUGAUACACUUUCAAAGAGUCGGAUUGUUUGGGAAUGCAGUCCAAAAUGGGUGGUAAAUUACAUCUAAAGCUAAAUAUUGGCGAGAGACCGAUAGCGAACAAGUACCGUGAGGGAAAGAUGAAAGGAACUUUGAAAAGAGAGUUAAACAGUACGUGAAAUUGUCAAAAGGGAAGCGUUUGACACCAGUGUUGUUUUUCCGAAAAUCAAUUAAAAAUAGAUUCAUGCUAAGUAGUAUUGACCUCAUCAGCUUGCUGCUUAGUUUUGGGUCAUUUUUUGAUGCACUUUUCGGUUAACAAGUCAACAUCAAUUUCUUUUGCCGUAAAAAGGUAGAAGGAAGGUGGCUUUAGUUUCGGCUGAAGUGUUUAUAGCCUUCUGCCCCUGCGGUCGGAGAGAUUGAGGUCUGCAGCGUAGAUCCUUCGGGGCUAGAUACGUCUGUGCUAAGCUAUAGCUUUGUCAUAGACAACAUUGUUGACUAUGUUUAGUCAUGUAGCUUACCCUCUGCAGCUAGUAUUUACCUACGCUUAGGAUGUUGACACACGCGCGUGCUCG
rnacentral:rRNA from 1 species